UACGGGGGGGGCAAGCGUUGUUCGGAAUUACUGGGCGUAAAGCGCGUGUAGGCGGUCGGGCAAGUCGGAUGUGAAAGCCCAGGGCUCAACCCUGGAAGUGCACUCGAUACUGCUCGGCUAGAGUCCCGGAGAGGAUGGUGGAACUCUCGGUGUAGAGGUGAAAUUCGUAGAUAUCGAGAAGAACAUCGGUGGCGAAGGCGGCCAUCUGGACGGUGACUGACGCUGAGACGCGAAAGCGUGGGGAGCAAACAGG
rnacentral:rRNA from 1 species